ACCUGUAGCUGCUACAGGCAGAGACAAAAAACCGUGAGUCACAACCUGUAUCAGGAGAGUUGACCUGCUCUGGACUCCGUGUUCAAGAUUUUUCUGCCCACUAUGCCUUUGCCAACUGAAUCCCCCAGUGGCCUUCACCAUGGUUACAUGGGUCUAUAGCCAAGCACAUGCACGAUCAGAGAACAAACCAUGCAUGGGCUCGCUACAGGUUAUGUCUCCUGAGUUCUAGUUCUCCGUCCUGAAGACCAUGUAAUGUGAGUUACAAGCUGUCUACAGAGGUAAGCAUUUGACUCUGGCCAGCUCAAGAUAUUCAGCAAGAUGUGAUUGUCCAGUCUUGAGGCUGUUUGCUGGGAGAAGCACUACAUAGGCUAUUGCCAGUGCCAAGGAGAACAAUCCUAACAAGACUGACAGCCCUGCCCAAAUGACACGGCAUUGAAAAUGACACCUGACUGAAUGAAGCUGACGCUGAGACGGAGUCUCCCUCUGUCGCCAGGCUGGAGUGCAGUGCCACGAUCUCGGCUCACUGCAACCUCCGCCUCCUGGGUUCAAGCGAUUCUCCUGCCUCAGCCUCCCAAGAAGCUGGGACUACAGGUGGUGAUUGACAGAUUCGUGCAUGUCCGUGCAAUUUGGUGCAUUCAGCUGCGUGCUUGCGGAUGUGGAUGUAUUUCACAGAAGCAGCAGCAGCCUGCCUUCCCUUCCCUGGAUUCCAUCUGCUGUGCAAGACAAGAUCUGUAGUCAUUCCCAGGUGCUGAUCAGAAACCCACAAAUAUCUGCCAGGCGGGCAACGGACCCUAAAGAGAGAGAUUAUCAAAAACAGCUGAGGAGCAAGCUAAAUUCCUACAGGGAAGAGUGGGACCAGAGCUCAUAGGCUGGCACUAAUAGUACUGUCUGGUCCCAAGGAGAAGCAGCAAGGCCAUGCAGGGAAUCACAUAAACAGAUCAGAAACUGAAGUUUGGCUUGCUGAUGUGACUUGCUCAAGGUCACAUAGCUACGAAUUGUAGACCUAGAACUAAAAACAUCCUGGCUCCUUGUCUAGUUUUUAUUGCUCUAUCCUAGGUUGUCUAGCUUAACUAUCUCUUGCUUCAUGGAGCUUGUAGGAAAGGAUGCCCUGCAAAUGCAGGACGUCAGCAUCUGGGGGAAUACAUCCAAUCAUUCUUGCAUUAAACCGCAAUAGAUUUCU